rnacentral:rRNA from 1 species
UACGUAGGUGGCAAGCGUUGUCCGGAAUUAUUGGGCGUAAAGCGCGCGCAGGCGGUCCUUUAAGUCUGAUGUGAAAGCCCACGGCUCAACCGUGGAGGGUCAUUGGAAACUGGAGGACUUGAGUGCAGGAGAGAAGAGUGGAAUUCCACGUGUAGCGGUGAAAUGCGUAGAGAUGUGGAGGAACACCAGUGGCGAAGGCGACUCUUUGGCCUGUAACUGACGCUGAGGUGCGAAAGCGUGGGGAGCAAACAGG